CCAACCACUAACACUACUCCAAAUCUUACCACUAUUACCACAGCUAGCCCACACCACUAUUAUCAUCACCACCACCUCCCGAUCAAGUCACCGGAAGACUCUGAACACUCCUACUGGCAGACUUCGAAGAAAAGGACAUAAAGAAAUAAUAUUGGCAGUCUUCUUGUUCUUGGUUACCAUCCUCCUCCUUGUGAAUAGUGUAAUUUGGUGCCUCAUCAUUCUGGUGUAUGUCCGGAAUGGAAGAAAACUGCAAAAAGGAAUGGGCACUCAAAGUGUGGACCAGAAAAGAACACAGGGCUUUUUCCAAUCAAUGAGACCCUGAGAGAGAAAGAUUGGGGCUGGGAUCCCCAGCAAGGAAGUGAUGACUUCUCGGAUCUAUGGAAUGAUACCAAAUCAUGCUUUGGAAGCACAAGUGUUAUUUAAAGCAGGAAAUAUCUGAAUAAAAAGAUACAUGAAAAUGGAACUUCCCCCAGGGGGAAAAAGCAAGCAGCUUUUCACUCAUCCAAGCCAAAGCUCCAAAGAGAGAAGAUCCAAGAGCAGUCUUACCGGAAGCAGUCCAAGAGCCAGAGUUCCAGAUCCAAGUCAUAACUCCAAGCUCCAGAUUCAGGAUCCUCCAACAUGAAAAUUCGGGAUGAAUAUUCCUCUUGCACAGGAAGUUCAUCACCUUUUAUAAUCCUCUUUUAUAUCCCUUCCUGUCCCUUCCUCCACUUUACAGGGGCUAAUUGCCCAGUGGUUAUUCAGUCAUUUCUGAGUUAUCAUCCACUUUAGCAAAUGGCUUGAGAAUCUCCUCUACUUAGUGUUAAGUAGGGGUGUCUAUGCUUUUUGUUUGAUUAAAUUUAAAAGUAGGCAAGGGGAGAGUCAAUCCCAUUUUCACACAAUGUAACAGAAGAUAUAGUCAAUAGCAAAAACACAUGAACUGAAAGUGACAUAGUGUAAUGGAAUAGUUUAGAUCAAUAUGUAAACUUAAAAGCAAAUACAGUACAUAUGACAGGAUACAGUCAAUCAGUGGUUUUUUUAACAUGUGAUAAAUGAAUCCAAAAGUCCUUUUCUCUAAUUUUGAUAGCUAUUGGAGUGGCUAAUAGGAAAUGACAUACACCUUGUAUUUAAAAUUGUGUUACAGAGACUUCUUCACUAUGGGGAGGGGAAUAAAUGGAAACAGUUAACAUCA
rnacentral:lncRNA from 1 species